rnacentral:rRNA from 1 species
GAUGAACGCUGGCGGCGUGCCUAAUACACGCAAGUCGAGCGAACAGACGAGGAGCUUGCUCCUCUGACGUUAGCGGCGGACGGGUGAGUAACACGUGGAUAACCUACCUAUAAGACUGGGAUAACUUCGGGAAACCGGAGCUAAUACCGGAUAAUAUAUUGAACCGCAUGGUUCAAUAGUGAAAGACGGUUUUGCUGUCACUUAUAGAUGGAUCCGCGCCGCAUUAGCUAGUUGGUAAGGUAACGGCUUACCAAGGCAACGAUGCGUAGCCGACCUGAGAGGGUGAUCGGCCACACUGGAACUGAGACACGGUCCAGACUCCUACGGGAGGCAGCAGUAGGGAAUCUUCCGCAAUGGGCGAAAGCCUGACGGAGCAACGCCGCGUGAGUGAUGAGGGUCUUCGGAUCGUAAAACUCUGUUAUUAGUGAAGAACAAAUGUGUAAGUAACUAUGCACGUCUUGACGGUACCUAAUCAGAAAGCCACGGCUAACUACGUG